CAGCCGCCGCGGUAAUACGGAGGGGGCUAGCGUUGUUCGGAAUUACUGGGCGUAAAGCGCACGUAGGCGGCUUGGUAAGUUAGAGGUGAAAGCCCGGAGCUCAACUCCGGAAUUGCCUUUAAGACUGCCGAGCUAGUAGGUGAGAGAGGUAAGUGGAAUUCCGAGUGUAGAGGUGAAGUUCGUAGAUAUUCGGAAGAACACCAGUGGCGAAGGCGGCUUACUGGCUCAUUCUAGACGCUGAGGUGCGAAAGCGUGGGGAGCAAACAGGAUUAGAUACCCCCGUAGUCCCUGUCUCUUAUAC
rnacentral:rRNA from 1 species